GGAAGUGUGGCCGAGCGGUUGAAGGCGCCGGUCUUGAAAACCGGCGACCCGAAAGGGUUCCAGAGUUCGAAUCUCUGCGCUUCCGCCA
rnacentral:tRNA from 2 species